GUGUGAGUCACCUCCUCACGUUCUCCUCCAAGAAGGGACCACAUUCCUGCAUGGCUGCCCCUGGGAAGAGGUGCCGGAUGCCACCUUGCCCCAGCAAGCACGUGUGUCACCAUGGAAUCACAGAGGCCUUUGGGUUGGAAGGAAAGUAAAGCUGAUCUCAUUCCAACCCCUGCCAUGGGCAGGGAGACUUCCACUAUUCCAGUCUGAAGCCAUUCCCCCUUGUCCUGUCUCUCCACGUGGGAGUGCAUCCAUGGAAGUGUUCCAGAGGCUCCGAGCAAACCCUUUCCAGGCAGAUCCCUGACUCGCAGGCUGACCUGCACCACGCGAGGCAUUAACCAGCAGUAAGGGGAUCCCGCCGUGACUCAUCCUCACGGAUCUGACAAACCCUUGAUCCCAUUGAUAAAAGCCUGGAGGGUUCUGGCUCCCGGCCAAAUGCCUCCACUUCAUUCAUGGAAAAGAGGGACAGGGAGGGAAACGGGCUGGGCUUGGGUCCAGGGAACAGAAGCGCAGGCAGAUCUGGCCAUUGCACAGAGUCCUCCUAUAGCCAUGGAUGGAGGCCAGGGGCAUGGGAAGGAGCUGCAGCCAGCCCUGCACAAGGAGGUUCCGGCCAGGAAACAGCAAGGCAGCAGAGUCCUUGGCCAGAAACACACCCUGGGGGAGGGAGGAGGAGCAGACCCUUCAGGAAAGCCCUGUUCCUAGGAAAGGUCAUGUCCUUCUGGACAAAUCCCUCCAGUGGCACCAUUAACCUGAGCAGUGUGGUUUUUCCCAGUUGGAUCUAGAGCCAAGCUCCAGUCUUAAACACCAGCAAGACCUCAGCAGCAUGACAGAUCCUUCCAGUGUUGGAAAUUACUUAUGUUUCUCACGGCUUUUUCCUAAUUGCUACUGGAGAUAAAAAGUUUAAAACAGAUGCCUGUUGUCCUGUCACAAUCUGCCUGUGUAAAAAGUCCCUCUUCAUCUUUUUUUAUAAACACUCCUUUAAGAUGAAGUGAAUUCCAGGUGAGACCAACUCCUUUUCCCUUCUUUCCACUUUGGACAGUGCUAUAUCCUUCCUCCAGAAAAGCCUGCCCAUCAGACAGCAUUGCUUGGCAUUUCACAUCCAUCUUACACAGAAAUAUUAAACAAA